rnacentral:rRNA from 1 species
AUUGAACGCUGGCGGCAUGCCUAACACAUGCAAGUCGAACGGCAGCACAGUAAAGAUUUCGGUCUUUAUGGGUGGCGAGUGGCGGACGGGUGAGUAAUGCGUAGGAAUCUGUCCUGGAGAGUAGGAUAACCCGAGGAAACUCGGGCUAAUACUGCAUGAUAUCGAGAGAUCAAAGGCAGGGGACCCUUCGGGGCCUUGCGCUCUAGGAUGAGCCUACGUCGGAUUAGCUAGUUGGUGGGGUAAAGGCCUACCAAGGCGACGAUCCGUAGCUGGUCUGAGAGGAUGAACAGCCACACUGGGACUGGGACACGGCCCAGACUACUACGGGAGGCAGCAGUGGGGAAUCUUGGACAAUGGGGGAAACCCUGAUCCAGCGAUGCCGCGUGUGUGAAGAAGGCCUUCGGGUUGUAAAGCACUUUAGUUGGGGAAGAAAAGUAAUGAGUGAAUAACUGAUUGCUCUGACGGUACCCAAAGAAUAAGCACCGGCUAACUCUGUGCCAGCCGCCGCAGUAA